rnacentral:rRNA from 1 species
UACGGAGGGGGCGAGCGUUAUUCGGAAUUAUUGGGCGUAAAGCGCACGUAGGCGGAUAUUUAAGUCAGGGGUGAAAUCCCGGGGCUCAACCCCGGAACUGCCUUUGAUACUGGGUAUCUAGAGUAUGGUAGAGGUGAGUGGAAUUCCGAGUGUAGAGGUGAAAUUCGUAGAUAUUAGGAGGAACACCAGUGGCGAAGGCGGCUCACUGGACCAUUACUGACGCUGAGGUGCGAAAGCGUGGGGAGCGAACAGG